UGGUUCCUACGGGAGGCAGCAGUGAGGAAUAUUGGUCAAUGGGAGAGAUCCUGAACCAGCCAAGCCGCGUGAGGGAAGACGGCCCUAUGGGUUGUAAACCUCUUUUGUCGGAGAACAAAACCCGGGACGUGUCCCGGACUGCGUGUAUCCGAAGAAAAAGCAUCGGCUAACUCCCUGCCAGCAGCCGCGGUAAUACGUAGGGGGCAAGCGUUAUCCGGAUUUACUGGGUGUAAAGGGAGCGUAGACGGCGCGGCAAGUCUGAAGUGAAAGGCAGGGGCUUAACCCCUGAACUGCUUUGGAAACUG
rnacentral:rRNA from 1 species